GUUGUGUAAGAGAGAAGUAGUCUCCUCGUUAGAUGCAUCAAGCAAACGCAAUUCCUUGAUCUCUUCCUGCCAUUUCUCAACAUGCUCCUUGUGUAUCCUGUUCAUAUACUCAUGUGAGUGUGAUGUAAACAUCUCAAUUAAGAUUAGAGACCUGCAACAAGAAGAAGAAAUGAGAAGAAUGAAGAAGAAGAAUCAUCGGUGAAUGAACAUAAGCAAAUCUUCUCAGACUUAAUCAAAAUGCGUUUUAUUAUUUCAACACAGCUUACAGUCUGAGUGAAGCUCUCAAUCUUGUCGAGAAUCUGAGCAAUGUUAAGUUCCAUCUCAUCAGAAGCAACAAGUUUCGUCUCAGUUU